rnacentral:lncRNA from 1 species
GCUAGUUAUUAAUCUGGUUCUACUACUGUAAAAGUAUGGAAUAUGGUGAGGGUAAAAUGAAAUGGCUUGGGGCAGGGCAAUAGUAGAAUAAUGAAAGCACUGGAGAGUAGGAGAGAUAAAUGAAGGAAGGAACACUGUAACUUUCUCUUUGACUCUGUACUUCUUUUAUGUUGUCCACUCAUUUUUUUUUUUCCUUUCCUUCCUUGCAGGGAGAAGGUCACUCUGAUGUGAUGGAAAGGCAGAAAUCAAUGAUGGCUGGCUCCUCAGUGAUAUGAGUCAAUCCAUCAGACAGAAUGAUGGCAGUCACCCAGCCUUCACAGCCACCACCACCAUGCUGGCAAAUGUCACAUUUGGAAUUCAUUUGCAUAGCUGGGUAGCACUCCCUGUGGAGUUACAUUGAACAAUUUUGCAGCUGUGACAGCUUGAAAUAGAAAAGCUAAUGCAGCUAUCAACUUCCGCUGUGCCUUGUUUCCUUAAAAUCUAGCUGGGAAAUCUUGUUACAGAAAGGAGGAAGAUCACGUAAAAUGGAAGGGAAACUGGUGCAAAGCUUUCAGGAACCAAGCACGUCUGGGUGGCGUUUGGAAGAGGCAUACAGGGACAUAGAGGCAUGGUUUCCCACCGACUGAGAUGAAGCUUCUCUUCCUAACAUCCUUCCACAGAAAGCAGAUAGCCAAAAGAUAUUUUUGACUGAAUGGAUGGAGGAAGAUGAGGAGUGAAGACCCCAAUUUCUUUCCCCUCAUAACGAAGUCAAAAGGGGACUCCAUUAUGAAGGAGUGUUGGUGAGAGAAUGUGGAUCCUUACAGCAAAUUGGAACUGUAUGAGAGAUGGAAGAUUUAAUCCAAGCUGUGCCAAGGCUCACCACCCUAGACAGGAGAUUGAUCAUUUCUUAAGAAAUGGUGUGAAAUUUUGGAGAGCGCCACCUGGUGAGUUGAGAGCCCUGGUUUCAUGACUAACCAGCAAGAUUUUUCAAACAUUUAUGUAACUGAGAAAGAAAGAAAGAACAUAAGAAAAUGAAGGCAUGUUUGCCAUUUUCCUAGAAAUAAAUUGGUUUUCUUUAAUAAUUCUGUCAUAAAUAUUACCUAAAUUAUGUGUACUAACCAUAUAUGUGUAUAUUUGUUAGAUAUUGUUUUAUAUAUCAUACAUGUAUAUUUACUUGUAUGUAUGUGUACACAUACAUACAGAUAUACAUAUAUAUAUAUAUAUAUUUUUUUUUAGGAAAAACAAAACGUAGAACACCAUGUAAAUAAAUAUGAUUGCAUAACCAUAGGCUACAAAUAUUCUCCAGUGAAAGUUAAUGUUUUUCCUCACUCAGAAACUGAUGAUAGAAAACUACGUAAACAGUAAAGGCAUAAAUAAUGUUAACAAUAUUAUCAAGCACACUGAGCUAAUUGUUAUUUAUAGAAUGCUACACAAAACUACUGCUAAGUACACAUUCUUUUCAAGGGGCACAUGAUAUGUUUACUGAGAUUGAUUAUAUCCUUGUCCCUAAAGUUUGCCUCCGUAAGUGUAAUAGAUUUAAUUUAUACGGAGUCUGUUUUGUCAAUGUAAUUAAAUAAACAAAUAAAUAAAAAUCAGAAUUUGUAUUUAUUUCAAAAUUUUGUUUAUUUUUAUUUUUUAAUUUCCAAAAAUAGUUGGAAAUUAAACGACCUUCUUCUAAAUAAUAUAUAAGUCAAAGAAGAAAUUAUGAAGAAAUUUAGAAAAUAUUUUGAAUAAAAUUGAAAGGAAACUACAACCUAUUGUGGGAGGUGGCUAAGUGAGAGCCUAGAGGGGAGAGUAGGACAUUAAAUGUACAUAUUUGAUGAGAAUAAAUAUUUACACUUUCUACUGAUAUUAGCUUGCAACUAGAGAAGUUAGAAAAAGGAAAGCACAGUGAAUUUAAUGUAAGUGGAAAGAAUAAAAUAAUGUCAGUAGAAAGAACAAACUUAAUGAGUUGUAGACAAAAGCCAAAGACAAAAAACUUUUCAAAAUGAGAGAAAAUUAUCAUGGCCAAAACUUAGUUCUUCUGAAAGAUCAACAAAUGGACAACUUCCAAGCUGGAUUUAUUAAGACGCAAAAGAGAUGCCUAAAACACAAAUAUCAAGAGUAAAAGACAGGUUUGACUACAGACACCAAAGAGAUAAAAGGGAGUAAUGAUAACAUUAUGCCAACAUCUUCUACAGCUUAGAUAAUGUGAAUGGCUAUAUAAAAAACAAGACCUAUCAUAAGCAAGCUCUCUCAGAAAAUAGGGAUAAAAACACUUCCUUUUUUUUUGAGACAGAGUUUCGCUGUUGUUACCCAGGCUGGAGUGCAAUGGCACAAUCUCGGCUCACCGCAGCCUCCGCCUCCUGGGUUCAGGCAAUUCUCCUGCCUCAGCCUCCUGAGUAGCUGGGAUUACAGGCACGCGCCACCAUGCCCAGCUAAUUUUUUAUAUUUUUAGUAGAGACGGGGUUUCACCAUGUUGACCAGGAUGGUCUCGAUCCCUUGACCUCGUGAUCCACCUGCCUCGGCCUUCUAACACAUUUUAUGAUGCCAACAUAACCUUAAUUUCAAAACCUAAUAAAGAUAUUGUAGAAGGAGGAAAUCAUAGACUAAUAAUCUUCAUAAUAAUAAUUGAAACAUCAUUAGUAGAAUAUUAUCCAAUUUUAUAUAACUGUAUAUAAAAGGCAUAUAUUUGGACAAACCAUUUCUGGGUUUAUCCCAGAAAUGGAGUGUUUGUUUAACAUUUGGCCGUCAUUAUAUAUUAUUCAUCAAGUAAUAAAAUAAAGAAGAAAAAAUAACAUGACUUUGACAAAGAGGAAAAAACUUUUGGCAAACUUCUACUCUCAUUUAUGAUUUUAAAAACUCUCAGCAACUAGUCACAGGAGAGAACACGCUCUGCUUGAGAAACAAAAUUUAUAAAAUCCUACCAUUAACACAUGGUUAAUAAUAAACUAUUAAAUAUUUUCUCUUUCAGAUGGGGGGAAAUUUAAGGAAGUCCACUCUUUCUACUUUUGUUCAAUAUAAUACUGAAGUUUUAAUAAGAUAAAAAUAAAUAAAAGGCGGUAGGUUCAGAAAGAAGAAAUAUGUAUGUAUGUAUGUAUGUAUAUUAUUUUACAUAUACAUAAUUUUACGUAAACUAUCCUGAACAAUCAAACAGAAACCAAAAGUGAAGAUUAAAUUUAGCUUGGUUAUAGAAGAUUAAAACAAAAAAAUUGUAUUUUCUAUGUUAACAAUCAGAAGAUGAAAGUUUAAAAAUAUUUUGUUAUAAUAGCAUCACAGAUAUUAAAUGCUGUUGAAUAAAUUUAGCAAGAGACCUUCAGUACCUCAG